rnacentral:rRNA from 1 species
AUUGAACGCUGGCGGCAUGGCUUACACAUGCAAGUCGAACGGUAACAGGUCUUCGGAUGCUGACGAGUGGCGAACGGGUGAGUAAUACAUCGGAACGUGCCCGAGAGUGGGGGAAAACGAAGCGAAAGCUUUGCUAAUACCGCAUACGAUCGCAGGAUGAAAGCAGGGGACCGCAAGACCUUGCGCUCCCGGAGCGGCCGAUGGCAGAUUAGGGAGUUGGUGGGAGAAAAGCUUACCAAGCCGACGAUCUGUAGCGGGUCUGAGAGGACGACCAGCCACACUGGGACUGAGACACGGCCCAGACUCCUACGGGAGGCAGCAGUGGGGAAUUUUGGACAAUGGGCGCAAGCCUGAUCCAGCCAUGCCGCGUGCAGGAUGAAGGCCUUCGGGUUGUAAACUGCUUUUGUACGGAACGAAAAGACUCCUUCUAAUAAAGGGGGUCCAUGACGGUACCGUAAGAAUAAGCACCGGCUAACUACGUGCCAGCCGCCGCAGUAAGAC